GAUGAGCGCUGGCGGCGUGCUUAACACAUGCAAGUCGAACGGAAAGGCCCAAGCUUGCUUGGGUACUCGAGUGGCGAACGGGUGAGUAACACGUGGGUGAUCUGCCCUGCACUUCGGGAUAAGCCUGGGAAACUGGGUCUAAUACCGGAUAGGACGAUGGUUUGGAUGCCAUUGUGGAAAGUUUUUUCGGUGUGGGAUGAGCUCGCGGCCUAUCAGCUUGUUGGUGGGGUAAUGGCCUACCAAGGCGUCGACGGGUAGCCGGCCUGGGAGGGUGUACGGCCACAUUGGGACUGAGAUACGGCCCAGACUCCUACGGGAGGCAGCAGUGGGGAAUAUUGCACAAUGGGCGCAAGCCUGAUGCAGCGACGCCGCGUGGGGGAUGACGGCCUUCGGGUUGUAAACUCCUUUCGCUAGGGACGAAGCGUUUUUGUGACGGUACCUGGAGAAGAAGCACCGGCUAACUACGUG
rnacentral:rRNA from 1 species